rnacentral:rRNA from 1 species
GCAUGAUUACUCCUCAAAGGAAUUGACGGGGACCCGCACAAGCGGUGCAUGAUGUGGAUUAAUUAGAUGCAACGAGAACAACCUUACCUACCCUCGACAUGUCUAGAAAUCGGAAGAGAUUUGGCCGCGUUCGCAAGAGAACCGGACACACAGGGCAUGCAUGUCGUUAGUCAGCUUGGUCGAGAGAGGUUUAGUUAAGUCACGCAGCGCGCCCAUCCCCUUUCAUUGCCAUCAUUUCAAGGGCCAUUUAAAGGGGAUGCCGGUGGCAAACCGGGAGAAGGGGGGGGAGGACGCAAGUUCUCCAGGCCCUUAUGGGUAGGGCUUCCCCAGUCAUUCAAUGGUUGGGACCGAGGGUCACCAACCCGGGGGGGGGGACCAAUUUUACAAAACCCAUCUCAGUUCGGAUUGCAGUCUGCAACUCGAGUGCGUGAAGUUGGAAUCGCUAGUAAUCGCGGAUCAGAAUGCCGCGGUGAAUACGUUCCCGGGUCUUGUACACACCGC